rnacentral:rRNA from 1 species
AUUGAACGCUGGCGGCAUGCUUUACACAUGCAAGUCGAACGGCAGCGCGGGCUUCGGCCUGGCGGCGAGUGGCGAACAGGUGAGUAAUGCAUCGGAACGUGCCCAGUAGUGGGGGAUAGCCCGGCGAAAGCCGGAUUAAUACCGCAUACGACCUGAGGGUGAAAGCGGGGGACCGAAAGGCCUCGCGCUAUUGGAGCGGCCGAUGUCGGAUUAGCUAGUUGGUGGGGUAAAGGCUUACCAAGGCGACGAUCCGUAGCUGGUCUGAGAGGACGACCAGCCACACUGGAACUGAGACACGGCCCAGACUCCUACGGGAGGCAGCAGUGGGGAAUUUUGGACAAUGGGGGCAACCCUGAUCCAGCCAUGCCGCGUGCGGGAAGAAGGCCUUCGGGUUGUAAACCGCUUUUGUUCGGGAAGAAAUCCUCUGGGCUAAUACCCCGGGGGGAUGACGGUACCGGAAGAAUAAGCACCGGCUAACUACGUG